GUGGGGAAUCUUGCGCAAUGGGCGAAAGCCUGACGCAGCCAUGCCGCGUGCAGGAAGAAGGCGCUACGCGUUGUAAACUGCUUUUAACCGGGAAGAAACCCCAGGACGUGUCCUGGGUUGACGGUACCGGAGGAAUAAGCACCGGCUAACUUCGUGCCAGCAGCCGCGGUAAUACGAAGGGUGCAAGCGUUAUCCGGAUUCAUUGGGUUUAAAGGGUGCGUAGGCGGAGCGUUAAGUCAGUGGUGAAAUCCUGCAGCUUAACUGUAGACUUGCCAUUGAUACUGGCGCUCUUGAGUGCGCUUGAAGUGGGCGGAAUGUGCCGUGUAGCGGUGAAAUGCUUAGAUAUGGCACAGAACACCAAUUGCGAAGGCAGCUCACUAAGGCGAUACUGACGCUGAGGCACGAAAGCGUGGGGAUCGAACAGGAUUAGAUACCCCGGUAGUCC
rnacentral:rRNA from 1 species